UACGAACUGUGCAAACGUUAUUCGGAAUCACUGGGCUUAAAGGGUGCGUAGGCGGCUCAUUAAGUAGGGUGUGAAAGCCCCCGGCUCAACCGGGGAAUUGCGCUCUAAACUGAUGGGCUGGAGUGAGAUAGGGGUGUGUGGAACUUCCGGUGGAGCGGUGAAAUGUGUUGAUAUCGGAAGGAACGCCGGUGGCGAAAGCGACACACUGGGUCUCAACUGACGCUGAGGCACGAAAGCCAGGGGAGCAAAC
rnacentral:rRNA from 1 species